AUUGAACGCUGGCGGCAUGCUUUACACAUGCAAGUCGAACGGUAACAGGUCUUCGGAUGCUGACGAGUGGCGAACGGGUGAGUAAUGCAUCGGAACGUGCCCAGUCGUGGGGGAUAACGCAGCGAAAGCUGUGCUAAUACCGCAUACGAUCUAUGGAUGAAAGCGGGGGAUCGCAAGACCUCGCGCGAUUGGAGCGGCCGAUGUCAGAUUAGCUAGUUGGUGGGGUAAAGGCCCACCAAGGCGACGAUCUGUAGCUGGUCUGAGAGGACGACCAGCCACACUGGGACUGAGACACGGCCCAGACUCCUACGGGAGGCAGCAGUGGGGAAUUUUGGACAAUGGGCGCAAGCCUGAUCCAGCAAUGCCGCGUGCAGGAA
rnacentral:rRNA from 1 species